rnacentral:rRNA from 1 species
CCUACGGGAGGCAGCAGUGGGGAAUAUUGCACAAUGGGGGAAACCCUGAUGCAGCGACGCCGCGUGAGUGAAGAAGCGCCUCGGCGCGUAAAGCUCUGUCAGCAGGAACGAUAAUGACGGUACCUGAAGAAGAAGCCCCGGCUAACUACGUGCCAGCAGCCGCGGUAAUCCGUAGGGGGCACGCGUUAUCCGGAUUUACUGGGUGUAAAGGGAGCGUAGACGGCGGGGCAAGUCUGGCGUGAAAGGCCGGGGCCCAACCCCGGGACCGCACGGGAAACUGCCCGGCUGGAGUGCGGGAGAGGUGAGCAGAAUUCCUGGUGUAGCGGUGAAAUGCGGAGAUAGUAGGAGGAACACCAGCGGCGAAGGCGGCUUACUGGACCGAGACUGACGUGGAGGCGCGAAAGCGUGGGGAGCAAACAGGAUUAGAUACCCUGGUAGUC